rnacentral:rRNA from 1 species
UACGUAGGUGGCAAGCGUUGUUCGGAAUUAUUGGGCGUAAAGGGCGCGUAGGCGGUUUGUUAAGUCAGCUGUGAAAGCCCGGGGCUCAACCCCGGAGGGUCAGCUGAUACUGGCAGACUAGAGUACAGAAGAGGUAACUGGAAUUCUCGGUGUAGCGGUGAAAUGCGUAGAUAUCGAGAGGAACACCUGCGGCGAAGGCGGGUUGCUGGGCUGAUACUGACGCUGAGGAGCGAAAGCGUGGGGAGCGAACAGG